GCCCACACGGUGGAUCUGCCAGCCUGCAGCAGAGGACAGAAUACGGAGACGUUCUGGUACCAGGAGGGAGACAAAGUCAUUCCAGCCACCAUGGGCCUGGUCCCUUCGGAUCUGACCAGCGUGGGGCAUCGCAGCUCGGGGUUAGUGUUCUAUGAGCACAGGCGGAGUUCCGUGGUGUUGAACUUACCUGGACUUGAAGUGUUCCCCGGGGACCUCCUGGUGUCUGACGGAGCUGCCGAUUAUCUGUGCCACCCACUUCUGCUGCUGAAUUCAGAAUCCAAAAAACCAAGAUGGCCUUUCUCCAAGAGAGGAGCGGUAAGUGCUGUACAUUGUAAUUUUUGUUUAUAAUUCAGCCGCUGGUAGCUAAGGAAGUAAGAAAUGGCUGAAAAGCCUCUUCCCCCUGCUUCUUAUCUGCAUAAAGGCGGGUGGCACAGAGUCUAAGUGACUUUGUCACAGCCGCAGCACUCACUGCAGGAAGUGUCAAAUGGUGCUACUGGUCCAGUGAAACAGCGUUAAUCACCGGUGGUUAACAAGUUCUACAAAACAAGCAAAGCAAUUCCAACUUGGUGUGGCUUUACAGCACUACAUUUACACUUAGUGCAACUCAUUAAGCAGCUCACUCGGUGAGGGGAAUUUGAACAAGUGUGUGCCCCAAGUUGCAGGCAGUACCUUGUAUAUUGGGAACAUUGAAAAAUUAAUGAGAUGUCACAUGAACCAGAUUCUACAAAUACACGACCACUUCUGGGAAAGUCAGUUGGAUACAUUCUAGUAGGUUUUGUAUUUGUUUUUUUUUGUUUUUUUUUUUAAUUCAUUCUCGACUCCAGCAAUUAUUGAAGAGUAAUAAAUCUAAGUCAGUGCUCCCUGGGAGUCUUCACUACCUAGGACAUGUGUGGUCUAGGCUGUGCCUCUCCUGCUGGCUCAUUGACGGUAGAGGGAGGGGGUGUUCAUGAUCUUAGGCUCUGUCCUCCGGGUCCCUGGAGGAAGCAGAGCUGAUGUGUGUGCUCCUGACAGUUCCAACACGGAUACACUGCAGCCAGUGGGGGGCAGCAGCGCCCUGGGGAAGCUACUGUACUUUGGUUGGUUCAAACCAUGCGCUGCCCUCAGGGUCUCUCCCAUCAGAGACAGUCACUGACAUCUGCGAUGUCUCUAUGGACACAGAUACCUUGGAAACUUGAAGUCCAGUAGCUGAAUUAAAAGUCCUCUAAGGUUCCAAUCCUAGCUGCUGCUCUCACUGCUUCAUGACCUUGGCCACAUGAAUUAACUCCCUCAGCUUCGGAGCUCUUCCGGUAGAAGGCAGGAAGUCCUAAUGGCAGCCCCACAGGAAGUUGUGAUGACCAUGUGUUACACAUGAAGUUUUCCCCAGACCUUGUAAACUU
rnacentral:lncRNA from 1 species